CGUGCGUGUAUCUGUGGUUGCGUGCUGCCUGUGCCCUCGGUCGAUCCAAAGCAAAUUCUCCAUCAACUGCAGUUUCUCUUCAGGAUGUCAGGCAGAAGAGUAGUGGUGUUCUCUUCAGCAGCAGAGCUUGGUCCAGCUCUGGCUCACCUGGUAGCAUUUUGGGCUGACAAGGCCCUGUUGGACCAUGGCCGGUUCUCCCUGGGCCUCUCAGGGGGCAGCCUGGUGUCCAUGCUCAGCAAGGAGCUGCCUGCCCUGCCAGACCUGGACUGCAGCCACUGGCUAGCAGGUUUCUGUGAUGAGAGGCUGGUUCCCUUUGACGAUGGAGAGAGUACCUAUGGACUGUACAAGAAUCAGUUGUUCUCCUAAAUCAACAUGACGAUUGACCCCUCUUUAUCUGUACAGGAGUGUGCUGAGGAUUAUGCCCGCAAACUGAAGGAGGUACACAGACUCACACACAGACUCACACACACACAGUUCAUUUAUCACUUGUAUGGUUAUGAAACAAAGUAAAGUUAUGACAUGAAACACUGAGAUAUUAUAGUCUAUUUUGGUAUUAAAGGUAGACUCAGCGAUAUGACGUAGAUGCAGAAAGUAAACAGCACAGUGGGUCAAUUUCCGCAACAACUAAGAGUGUUGAAUCGCAAGACUCAACUUCUCUGCUGAUUCGGUGCCCUGUCUACCACGCUGUGAACAGUGUGAAGGGAACCCGUGCAGAUACUUUGUGCGACCGCGUGAGAGCGAAGUGUUGCAUCUCGCUCAUCUCAAUAGCUCCAGUGCUGCUUGUGGCAGCGUCAUUUCACUGAGUCCUGAAGGAGGAUAUCUCUGUGUUUGAUCUGUUGCUGCUGGACAUGGGGCAUGAUGGACACACCUGUUCUCUCCUCCCAGACCAUCCCCUGCUGUAGGUGAGCACAGUCUACAGCCCAGUUUCAGGUCGUCUUUAUUGCACUGUAGCCUCAUUCCAUGUUGACUCCCAGGUUGUCUUUUUUUGCAGUCGCGUUGCACUGUUUAUCAAAUCUCACAACGCCUGGAGAAGUGUUUAGCAUGUUAUAUGAUAAAGCAAUCUUCUCAGACGACCUGGAACGCCACCUGUAUCACUCACUAGGUUGUAAUUCUGGUAUCAAAGGAGCUAAAACGGAUAACUAUUUACAUCAAUGUUACUAAUACGUCUUCUUCUUUUUAUCCAUAUGGUCUUGUGAUGAUCAGAUCAUGACAUUACAUCUGUUCUCCAUGAGGGUUAAAAAACGUUAAAAAAGGCGUUGCUUGGUCUGGGUGUAAUUAAAGCUGUUAGGUACUAUUCACAUCAGAUAGUCUUUCAUGAAGGAAGAACUGUCUUCUGUUAUGGGAGAUCAGAAAACCCUCAGCAAACACGUCCCAAGCAACCGCCCUCUCCCAGUUUCAUGUUAUCUGAACUGGAAAUGAGCCAUAACCACUCUACAGUUAGUUGAAUAGAAAUAUUUAUGUUUAGCACAUAUAAGGGAAGACGUUCAUGUUGACACAAACAUAAUGUAUUGUAGUGCAAAGCUAUGAAUGCAUGAUUGCAAAUUACUGUCAGACCGACAUAUGGGGCUUUUAACCAUGUUAGAAAAUCUCACACCACUUCACACACCCAUUGUUAUAAAUCCCCCUGGGAACCCAGCCUUCAGUCUAUCAUAAUUAGAACAUKUUUUAAAGACACUUAUAGAUAGUAUGCAGUAGGUUAAAAUAUGGAUUCAGAGGUUUGGGGCUAUAAAUUAAUGUAUAGCCAGUAUUUUGUGGCGUCUCAGUGUAAGGUUUWAAAAAAUUAUCUUUAGAUUCUUCCUUUCAGUUAAUUCAAGUCUGGUUCUGACCAGUAGUGUGUUUAUUUAAUGUGUUCCGUCACACACAUGUAUACACCUGUCCUGCCAUGCAUGUGUUGUUUUAGUCACUCCACUGGCUAUGUAUGGACCGUUCUUGUGUUUUGGUUUUACUCCUCUUUUAGGAAACCUAGAAAAUUGUGGCCCCAAUCGGUGACUCGCCCAAGCCCCCACCACAACGUGUGACCAUGACAUUUCCCAUGGUGAARUUAGCCCGCUGUGUGGUCUUUGUGUCAACAGGGGGCAGCAAAGCACCAGUGCUAAAGUGAGCUUUUCCUUUCAAGUGCUGGAGUGUGGUGAAGGCCCGGCCCUACCUGCAGCCAGAGUGGUCCCCAGCCACGGUGACCUGUUCUGYCUCACAGAUGAACCGGCCACGGCUUCCUUGACACUCCAAAUGGAGAGACCAGGCUCUGCAGCAAAACUCUACAGACCAAAGAGAAGGACWAAAAGGAGCUCAAAAACUCAACACCCACAGAGAAAAAUGUACAGGAUAUCAUUGAACAAUCCUGUUUCUAUUUGACAGUGUUAUGUUUUAGGCAUGAGAUUAAACCCUACCUAUCAGGGCAAUGGGAUUUAAGUGAAUUAAUGAAUGAAUAGGAAAAACAUUGGAUUGUUUACACAUCAGUUGUAGAACGGUGUUGAAUGUAUGUUUAAUGAUGGGGAAACCAUUUGAAGUAGUUGCUGCAUGAUUCAUUCCAGAGGAAACGGUGUAAUGUCAUAAUAAUACAAAUAGUUUUACUGUUAAAGUUUCAGGGUUCUUUAAUGUGUACUAUACCUCUCUCAUCAUUACUCAAUGCCUAGGUUUACCUCCAAUGUACUC